UAACUUUGCUGUAUAACUCUUUUAUUUGUAGAUUUUAAAAUUCUUUAUAGAAAUGAGGGAAAUGUAUUUUUGUUUUGCAUAUUACAGAUAUCAAGGGGAUUGAAUCACAAAGAAGCUUAAUGACUAACUCAUGAAGAAACACUAGGUCUUUGUCUGCCUGGGCCUAGCAUGGACCUUUUUGUAUGCCAAAAAUUAUCUUAAUCUGUAGGUUUUGUUGGAACCUGAUGCAUAUCAGAGACUACUGUAAGAAACCUUUGGGUCUCUGGUACAUUGCCAAGGCUAUAGUUUCAGAUGUAACAUAUUUAGGAUGCCUCACAAAUGGGCUAACCUUGUAAUAGAUACUUACAAACUCUGUAACUAGGCAACUAAAAAAAGAAAAAAACCUCUCAGGUGGUUAUCAAAUUUGUCUUGGGAAACCCUUGUCCUGCUGUGCAACUUAAAACAAGAGAUGAUGUUGCAAUAUAAUUACAUUUUAUCUUAAAUUAUAUUGUCUCAUUAUUCAUGCAGCCGUAUUAUCCGAGUUUUACUCAGAACCACCAAUCUGCAUCAGAGAGGCAAAAUGUUAAUUUUCAUAGGAUUUUACCUCUUGUUAUUAAAUAACUCUGUUAUCUAAAUAGUAAAGCAAUCUGGUCUAAGCACACACAUUUUAUUUCAUUGCGUCUGACUUCUCUAUUGUUAAUGAAUGAAAACUAAAGGAGGAAGCAUAGCUCUGGGGUUCUUCUGUUCAUCUUUAUGUAUUCCAGUUUGUAGAUCCCAAGAGUCAUUUAGAUUUGGUGUUUUGAAUAUCCAUGGUAAUACAGAGAUCACUUGUAGAGACUGCAGAAAGGUUCUGCAGAGGAACCUUCACUUGCUUCCACCCACCAAGCUAACCCCUCGUUACUUCUUGCUAUGUUGAGUUCCAGUGACCUUCAAGGAGUUUACAUGAAGCAGAUGUUGUGAUGCAAUGCAGUGGAUGAGCUCUCACAGAAAACUCAAGAAAUCCAAAGCCAGAUUUCUUACAGAUAUUUAUAAACAAGCCACAACAAGACACGUAAGGUAUCCAAAUUAAACCUAUGUAUCCCAAUAUUAAGAAAUAAUAACUAUUUGACUGUUGGAAUGACGACUUUAAAGAUUGUACAGAAAAGUCAUAUUCAAAAUAUAAUUAAAUGCUCUGAACUGAACUGAAGGUGAUAAAGGCUGUAAAUUACAUAAUUAUCUGACAUAGUGGAUUAUCAAUUUUGAUGGUACCUAUACAGAUUUAAAAUAGGAAAAAGAUCACAAUAUAGCAUAAAAACCCCUUCAAGAAUAUUCUAAAGAAAUGCAGCAGUGUUUAUAUAGACUCGUCUGUUUCUGCAGAGGGUUGAAAUACCUCCUCAGGGACCAGCACUUCUAGGCAGAAGUGCCAAUGUGAAAUGCUCAGUGCGACUGGAGCCAGGACAAAAACUCAGGCCUUUCUUUCUGGAUAUAUCUGAAGUAAUCUGUGAACAGUUCAGGAAUCUAUAUGUCUUUCCAGAAAGAGAUUAAUGAUUGCCUGUUUUCCAACCAUUUGUUUGUAACAUCCAGGCUGUGUGGAACAACUCAUAUGUGUUACAUCCUGAAAAGUUUGCUAUUUGCAAAACAUUUUACCAUUUUCCACUUCAGAAGCAUCUAAAUUUAGUAAUGGUGCAUAGCUCUGUCUCCCCAGGGGCCUACAGUUCAAAAGUCCAUCUCUGUUUUGAAUGUAAGUUUAGAGCAAACAGCACAGCAUGACAAAGUGGCUGAAGAACAACCUGUGUCUGUUUCUCAGUGCUAAAUUUUAACCGCUCAACCCGAGGGUGUGGGAACCCAGGUGGAAUACUUAGGGGUGCGACAAUUGAAGGCAUUUUCUCUUCUUCAUGGACACUUGGGAUGUUCUGGUUCUCCCUCUGGACAGCUGUGGCCCUGUGCCUGCUUGCAGCUCCCACCUCCUGCUGCUUGUUGAGAAGCAGUCAGUCACCAGAACAACAGCCCUAUGGUCUAGUCGCCCACCCUUCCCCUGCAAAACCCUGCUUGCUGGGCUAGUAAUGUAUGGAGCCUUUCUGUGUCCUCUUCUGCUUAUAGCUGUUCACAGACCCACUGCUUCUGAAGCCUUCAUGUCUUUGGAAGGAAACAGAAAGCAGAUCUUGCUCUCCUUGAACUGCAAAAGCAGAAUCUAUCAACCACUGCAGCAAACAGCAAUACACUGGAGAGAUGGGCUUUUGUAUAGGUGCAGAUACUUGUACAUAUUAGUGCAAAGUCAAAAGUAUGUGUCUUUGACCCUUUCAUUUACUAUUGUAUUUCUUGACCCAGAUCUUCAGAGAAACCAUUUUGGAAUUUAUAAAGGAUUUUGGAUUGCUUCCAGCCAUUUCCUGUUCCUAGUUGGUCCCAUGCUGGGUCAUAUCAUAUUGAGUGUCUGCCAUUGUACUGAUUUCUCCUUCUGCUCCUUCCACCUCCUCUUCUAGCAUUUUUGUUGAAGGUCUUCCUUUCCUUCUUCCAGGUUACUGUACAGAUUCCAUGGGAAAAUUUUCCUUAGUCUUCCCUUCUCCCUGGCUGCCUUUAACCCAACACAAUCUCAUUCACCUACACAAAAUCAGGUGACAUCCCUGUGGGUAUUUUUGACUUCCAUCUCUUUGCCAGAGCUUUCUGUCUAAAUCUCAGCACCUCAUUCUGUAGCAAUCCCUGGAUGAUGUCAGGUAAAACUGGGUAUUCCAGCAGAGUGCAGUGGUAUUGCCAGCUAGGCUGUCCAAAGUCAGUUCAGUGCUUUAGUGUUUUCCCUGUUUCAGUCUAUAGUAAUAUAGUACAGAAUCCUAAAUGCUUUAGAAAACUUUUUUUUUUUUUUCCUUUUGGUCUUCUCAGCACCAUUAGUAACACCAAUAGAACAAUUUCCCUAGGAAAAAAAAUUAAAGUUAUGAACUUUGCAUUUAAACAAGGAGCGUUUAUAUUAAGUAGAAAAGAGAAAGCCUUUGUUUGAGCACAACAAUCAGGCCUAAAGAAAAUACAGAAGUAUGCUUGGCCAAAAUUUUCAGCUUCAUUUUCUGUCAAAAAGCUAGUUCUUGCUGAGCUUAAAGCUUUUGCUGUAUUAUUUUAGAUAUGCUCCAUUACCUAAUGGCACAAAGGAUUUGUUUUUCUCAGUAUACAAUAAAAUUCGCACUUCUGGUGUGGAUUCCUUUGAACAUUUUGAGGAAUGGCACAGGGAACUGUGCCCUUUGGAAAGAAGAAAUGGUGGAAAACAGGAAGUGCUGAUUAUGAAACUCUGUGGGAGUGAGUCUGUCUAGCCAUACUGCAGCAUAAAUUCAGUUCAAUACUUAUCAAAAAGCAGUAUAUCUCCAGAGUCCCACUAUGCAGCCAAGUUUAGAUUACUUUUUGACAACUUUUCUAAUGGAUUCAACUGUGCAUGGUGAUAAGCUUGUACCUGAAACCAGAUUCAAGUACUUUCACUGUUAAAAGACAUGCUACUGUUUGGUUUAGUUAUGGUGGGGUUUUCUUGGUUUCUGUAGAGGCAAAGGUACAUGUAUCUGAUCUUCUGAAGUGGAAUCAUAUCUGUCUCCAGCUCAAGGUCACAGAUCAACUUUCACUUGUCAAUUCUUGAAGUACUUCCUGAAAUACCUUCUUCAUAUAUUAAAGCCAAGAACUUUAAGUAACAACUUGGAGGAGAGAAUGCUGAAGAUGUGAUCCCCCCUCACCACAAAAUGCUGUAGAUGAGUAAAAUUAGCAUGGGUUCCAGAGUGACUAGACAACUUAGUGAAAGAUGAAUCCAUUGGGGGCUAUUAAAUGCAAAAUCACCAUGUCUGGUUCAGGAGUCCUCUGAACCACAAAUUGCUGUGUGUGCUUGGUAGAUAUUCUGGGAACAACAUGAUGCACUUGCUCUGCUCCUAAUUCUUUUAUAGGCAUUUAGUGCUGCCCAUUGCUAGAGCCCAGCCUGCGCUGAUGUUCCUUGAAUUUGUGUCCCUGUUUCUAAGUUUUGGAAUACUUAUGUGGAUUAUUUCACAUUUCUUCACAGGAAAGGUGGGAAGAAGAGAGGACUCAAACAAUAACUCAGAAAGGAAGGUGAAUAGAAGUCACAAAAUUGAAAGAGAAGAAAGUUGUACACCAAAUUGAACAACUAUAUCAAUAUUUCAAAAGCUACCAAAUCUUGCACAUGCAAAAAAGGAAGCUUAACAAUCUUUGCUAAUCUCUAAUGCAAGAUGCAUCCAUUAUUUAUGAAGGCAGCAGACAAAGGGGAACUGCUCUUGAAUGGAAUCCUAAAUGCUCCUCAAGAGAAGCCCACAGCACAAGAUUACCUCUUACAAAGCUACUGACCAGUCUCUCUGGAGAUUAACUCUGAAAGUUAGUCUCCAGAAGAUCUUAUACUAACUGUGUGUGAACUGGAUUGAUAUUUGUAAAAGAUGCAAAGAAUGAAGAUAGAAUCCUGCUAUCCAAGCAUCAUUUUGUACCAACACCGACUGAGCAGGUUGAUAGCACUACAUCGACUUAGUGUCUUACUUAUUAUUGCGUGAAAAAUUCAAAUUAAGGAAAUCAGACAGUUGUAAAUUGCUGGCAUAUGUAGUCGUAAAUUAAAGAGCAGUCAUCAACAGAAAUAAAAGCCUGAAAUGAAUGAAUUUGAGUUCUGAGGAUGCACUGAGAAACUGAAGAAAGACAUCAAAGCCAGCAGGGAAAAAAAAUUAACAACUUAACAAGGAAAACUGGCUUUUAAGAAAAGACAUUGGAUUCAGCAAAGUGGUGCAUGGCCCAGAGAAGAUAAAAAUAAUGAAGAAGAACAGCGGGGACCGCAAUAAAAAUGGUUGGAAAUGAAUACACCCUGGAAAGUAGUUUGUACAGUUUUUGCCAACAAAACUCAUUGCAAUUAGGCAAUUAUAAAUGCUCAGGAAUUUUCUGAAGAUGAGAUGAUUUGCAAUUUAAUAUUGUUAUAAUGUUGGUAACAUGUCAGGGAACAACUGGCCUUUUAAGCCAGUCAGAUCACCAGGUUCAUGAAUCAGCUUCAGAGAGAAAACACAAGGAAUCCCCCAGUAGUUUUUAAUAGUUGUAUGACAGCCUAGAGGGUCAGAAAGUAAAAUUAUGUCAGGGAUUAUCUUGUAGCCCUUCCUUGUACUUUUAGUCUCAUUGCCAUUACGGGUUGCAAAUACCAAUUGUGUGUUUGAGAGACUCUCAUACAUCCUAUGCUAAAACAAAACCCGUUUCCCAAGCUGUAGAUAAUUUUGUUGUAUACUCUUCCAUGUGGAUUUGGGCUCCUCAUCACUUCUGAGAACUGUUACUGUCACCCUGAUAGUAAAGAAUUAGAUGGGGGUUAACUCCAAAAUACAUGUAUUACCAGCAGCACCUAUAACACCUAUAACACAAGUCUGUGAACCUAAUUCUGAUCCCACUUAGCCUAGUUUUAUGCCAGGGAACUUCAACAGAGUGACUCCUAGUUUGCUGCCAUAUAAGGGAGACUGGACCCAGUAUGACUCAGCCCAUCACUUGCCAGUCUAUUCUAAGCAAGACUAUAAUAAGAGUUUCCACAAAGGAAGCUUAGUUUGCUAAUAUGCAAAAGAGAAAAAAAGAGUAGCAAAAGAGUGCCUUUAUAGACAUUUGUUCCACAUUUUUUUUGGCUUUUGAGCUGGAUAUGUCUACACAGACUAUAAAUAUUUGCUCAAGGCAGAUGUGGCAUACUUUUGAGCUACCUGUGUUAAUUUUAAUAUACUUCAUGCAGUGGUAAAGAUAUGACAGCAUAGGCUGGAAACUGGAGUACAGGUGUCCUGGGCACACAUAGUAGUCACUUGUGCAUGCCACCACUUUUUGCUUCACUUGCUAAUUAUGUUAACACUAGUCUGGAUGUUGUAAAAUCACUUUGCCUGAAGAAGAAUGGGGCACAGAGAAUCCCUCCUGAAGAUAAUGUUUUGGUAGGAGGGGUGCAAUUCUCUCGUUUUCUGAGUCACUGAAAUUCAGCUGUUUCCUAAUGGACCCUUUAAUCAGGACAAAGAAUGAGUUUGUGCUUGAGGAAAGCACUCCCAGUGCACGCCUAACCUCGCAUUUUGCCUCUGAGAAACAUUAUUUUGUUACCUCAGAUUUUAUAGCAAAGGCAAAAGUGUUUGUAGUAUCUUAUUAAUGGAAAAGCUUAUUAACUCAGUUGGAAAGACAGGUUAUAAAAAAACAUCCACGAUGGCUGCAGCUAUGGGGCUAUACCCAGCAAAUGCCUCAGGCAUGCAGCUUUACCCACAUGGGGCUGGUUUGCUCAGGUGACUGUUGAUACCGUAUGCGUUCCACAGCAGCAGCCCUGUCACCUCUACAAGGUCAUGCUAUUUGCCUUGAAUGUUGCUUUUAACAUAAAACCACUUUGAAUGUUAGAGGAUGCUCAGCUACUCACGUAAGAGGUCAUUCUGAAAGCAGCAUGUUAUCCUGUAGAAUAUAAAUCAAGUUACACGCAUGUAUAUUUUGCUCAUCUGAGAAGAUUAUUCCAGCUAUUGCCUUAAGAAGUCACAAGGUCACUGCUCCCUUUGCUCAAAUUCCUUGUUGAAAUGUACAUCUUUUAGAAGGCCAGUAAGAAGCCAGACUAUGCAUAACAGGCAAGUAAAAGAGAUUUGGAGAAUGUGUAGAAGACCAGCAAUCUACAUAAAUCAUAAGUUUAUACUUCUCUUCCACUAUUGCUUCCCUUUUUUGAGCUGCUGGACCAUGAGCAAAAC